GACGAACGCUGGCGGCGUGCUUAACACAUUCAAGUCGAACGGUGAAGCGCCUUACUUUUUGGCGGGUGUGGAUGAGUGGCGAACGGGUGAGUAACACUUGAGUAACCCGCCCCCUUCUUCUGGAUAACCGCAUGAAAGCGUGGCUACUACGGGAUAUUCUGGUUCUGUCGCAUGAUGGGUCUGGGAAAGAUAUUGUUUCGGUGGGGGAUGGGCUCGCGGCCUAUCAGUUUGUUGGUGGGCUUAUGGCCUACCAAGGCGGUGACGGGGAGACGGCCUGGGAGGGUAGUCGGUAAGACUGGGACUGAGCCACGGGGAAGACUGCUACAGGAGGGAGCAGAGGAGAAUAUCCCACAAUAGGCAGAAGACUAAUGCAGCACCGCCGCGUGGACGAUGGCGGCCCUCGGGUUGAGAACCCCUGUCGCCAGUGAAGCAAGCCCGGAUGGUUUGUGGAUGGGUUGACGGUAGCUGGAUAAGAGGCCCGGGCUAACUAGGUG
rnacentral:rRNA from 1 species